UACAUGGGGUGCAAACGUUGCUCGGAAUUAUUGGGCGUAAAGCGCACGUAGGCGGUUCGUUAAGUCGGAUGUGAAAGCCCUCGGCUCAACUGAGGAACUGCGCCCAAAACUGCCGUGCUCGAGGAAGAUAGAGGUAAGCGGAACUUACGGUGGAGCGGUGAAAUGCGUUGAUAUCGUAAGGAACACCUGUGGCGAAAGCGGCUUGACUGGGUCUUUUCUGACGCUGAUGCACGAA
rnacentral:rRNA from 1 species